rnacentral:rRNA from 1 species
CCUACGGGUGGCAGCAGUGGGGAAUAUUGCACAAUGGGCGCAAGCCUGAUGCAGCCAUGCCGCGUGUGUGAAGAAGGCCUUCGGGUUGUAAAGCACUUUCAGCGGGGAGGAAGGCGGUGAGGUUAAUAACCUCAUCGAUUGACGUUACCCGCAGAAGAAGCACCGGCUAACUCCGUGCCAGCAGCCGCGGUAAUACGGAGGGUGCAAGCGUUAAUCGGAAUUACUGGGCGUAAAGCGCACGCAGGCGGUCUGUCAAGUCGGAUGUGAAAUCCCCGGGCUCAACCUGGGAACUGCAUUCGAAACUGGCAGGCUAGAGUCUUGUAGAGGGGGGUAGAAUUCCAGGUGUAGCGGUGAAAUGCGUAGAGAUCUGGAGGAAUACCGGUGGCGAAGGCGGCCCCCUGGACAAAGACUGACGCUCAGGUGCGAAAGCGUGGGGAGCAAACAGGAUUAGAUAACCGUGUAGUC